AGAGUUUGAUCCUGGCUCAGGAUGAACGCUGGCUACAGGCUUAACACAUGCAAGUCGAGGGGCAGCAUGCCGGUUGCUUGCAACCGGUGAUGGCGACCGGCGCACGGGUGAGUAACGCGUAUCCAACCUUCCCGCGACCAAGGGAUAACCUGCCGAAAGGCAGACUAAUACCUUAUGUCCUCCUUUGAAGGCAUCUGACGAGGAGCAAAGAUCCGUCGGUCACGGAUGGGGAUGCGUCCGAUUAGCUUGUUGGCGGGGCAACGGCCCACCAAGGCUUCGAUCGGUAGGGGUUCUGAGAGGAAGGCCCCCCACACUGGAACUGAGACACGGUCCAGACUCCUACGGGAGGCAGCAGUGAGGAAUAUUGGUCAAUGGGCGGAAGCCUGAACCAGCCAAGUAGCGUGCAGGACGACGGCCCUACGGGUUGUAAACUGCUUUUAUGCGGGGAUAAAGUUGCCCACGCGUGGGUUUUUGCAGGUACCGCAUGAAUAAGGACCGGCUAAUUCCGUGCCAGCAGCCGCGGUAAUACGGAAGGUCCGGGCGUUAUCCGGAUUUAUUGGGUUUAAAGGGAGCGCAGGCCGCCGUGCAAGCGUGCCGUGAAAAGCAGCGGCCCAACCGCUGCCCUGCGGCGCGAACUGCUUGGCUUGAGUGCGCCGGAAGCGGGCGGAAUUCGUGGUGUAGCGGUGAAAUGCUUAGAUAUCACGAAGAACCCCGAUUGCGAAGGCAGCCCGCUGUGGCGCCACUGACGCUGAGGCUCGAAGGUGCGGGUAUCGAACAGGAUUAGAUACCCUGGUAGUCCGCACGGUAAACGAUGGAUACCCGCUGUCCGGCCCGUACGGUCUGGGCGGCCAAGCGAAAGCGUUAAGUAUCCCACCUGGGGAGUACGCCGGCAACGGUGAAACUCAAAGGAAUUGACGGGGGCCCG
rnacentral:rRNA from 1 species